rnacentral:rRNA from 1 species
GAUGAACGCUGGCGGCGUGCCUAAUACAUGCAAGUCGAGCGAACGGACGAGAAGCUUGCUUCUCUGAUGUUAGCGGCGGACGGGUGAGUAACACGUGGAUAACCUACCUAUAAGACUGGGAUAACUUCGGGAAACCGGAGCUAAUACCGGAUAAUAUUUUGAACCGCAUGGUUCAAAAGUGAAAGACGGUCUUGCUGUCACUUAUAGAUGGUUCCGCGCUGCAUUAGCUAGUUGGUAAGGUAACGGCUUACCAAGGCAACGAUGCAUAGCCGACCUGAGAGGGUGAUCGGCCACACUGGAACUGAGACACGGUCCAGACUCCUACGGGAGGCAGCAGUAGGGAAUCUUCCGCAAUGGGCGAAAGCCUGACGGAGCAACGCCGCGUGAGUGAUGAAGGUCUUCGGAUCGUAAAACUCUUUUAUUAGGGAAGAACAUAUGUGUAAGUAACUGUGCACAUCUUGACGGUACCUAAUCAGAAAGCCACGGCUAACUACGUG